rnacentral:tRNA from 1 species
GUCUCCGUAGCUCAGGGGAUAGAGCACUCGCCUCCUAAGCGAGGGGCCGUGCGUUCAAAUCGCACCGGGGACGCCA